UACGUAGGGGGCAAGCGUUGUCCGGAUUUAUUGGGCGUAAAGAGCGUGUAGGCGGCUAGAUAGGUCCGUUGUGAAAACUCGAGGCUCAACCUCGAGACGUCGAUGGAAACCAUCUGGCUAGAGUCCGGAAGAGGAGAGUGGAAUUCCUGGUGUAGCGGUGAAAUGCGCAGAUAUCAGGAAGAACACCCGUGGCGAAGGCGGCUCUCUGGGACAGUACUGACGCUGAGACGCGAAAGCGUGGGGAGCGAACAGG
rnacentral:rRNA from 1 species